rnacentral:rRNA from 1 species
CCUACGGGAGGCUGCAGUGAGGAAUAUUGGUCAAUGGCCGGAAGGCUGAACCAGCCAAGUCGCGUGAGGGAAUAAGGCCCUAUGGGUCGUAAACCUCUUUUGUCAGGGAGCAAAGGCGUCCACGAGUGGACGAAAGGAGAGUACCUGAAGAAAAAGCAUCGGCUAACUCCGUGCCAGCAGCCGCGGUACUACGGAGGAUGCGAGCGUUAUCCGGAUGUAUUGGGUUAAAGGGGUGCGUAGGCGGAGUGUCAAGUCAGCGGGAAAAUUUCGGGGCUCAACCCCGUCGUGUCGUUGAAACUGACACCCUUGAGUGAGUGAGAAGUAGGCGGAAGGCGUGGUGUAGCGGUGAAAUGCAUAGAUAUCACGCAGAACGACGAUUGCGAAGGCAGCCUACUAAACUGCCACUGACAUUGAUGUUCGAAAGUGUGGGUAUCAAACAGGAUUAGAUACCCCGGUAGUC